rnacentral:rRNA from 1 species
ACGGAGGGUGCAAGCGUUAAUCGGAAUUACUGGGCGUAAAGCGAGUGUAGGUGGCUAUGUAAGUCGGAUGUGAAAUCCCCGGGCUCAACCUGGGAACUGCAUUCGAUACUGCAUGGCUAGAGUCUGAUAGAGGGAAGUGGAAUUCCAGGUGUAGCGGUGAAAUGCGUAGAUAUCUGGAAGAACACCAGUGGCGAAGGCGGCUUCCUGGAUCAAGACUGACACUGAGGCUCGAAAGCGUGGGGAGCAAACAGGAUUAGAUACCCUGGUAGUCCACGCCCUAAACUAUGUCAACUAGACGUUGGGUUCUUUAAUGAACUUAGUGUCGAAGCUAACGCGUUAAGUUGACCGCCUGGGGAGUACGGCCGCAAGGUUG